rnacentral:rRNA from 1 species
GAUGAACGCUGGCGGCGUGCCUAAUACAUGCAAGUCGAGCGAACAGACGAGGAGCUUGCUCCUCUGACGUUAGCGGCGGACGGGUGAGUAACACGUGGAUAACCUACCUAUAAGACUGGGAUAACUUCGGGAAACCGGAGCUAAUACCGGAUAAUAUAUUGAACCGCAUGGUUCAAUAGUGAAAUACGGUUUUGCUGUCACUUAUAGAUGGAUCCGCGCCGCAUUAGCUAGUUGGUAAGGUAACGGCUUACCAAGGCAACGAUGCGUAGCCGACCUGAGAGGGUGAUCGGCCACACUGGAACGGAGACACGGUCCAGACUCCUACGGGAGGCAGCAGUAGGGAAUCUUCCGCAAUGGGCGAAAGCCUGACGGAGCAACGCCGCGUGAGUGAUGAAGGUCUUCGGAUCGUAAAACUCUGUUAUUAGGGAAGAACAAAUGUGUAAGUAACUAUGAACGUCUUGACGGUACCUAAUCAGAAAGCCACGGCUAACUACGUG